rnacentral:rRNA from 1 species
AUUGAACGCUGGCGGCAUGCCUUACACAUGCAAGUCGAACGGUAACAGGUUAAGCUGCCGCGUGGCGAACGGGUGAGUAAUGUAUCGGAACGUGCCCAGUCGUGGGGGAUAACUGCUCGAAAGAGCAGCUAAUACCGCAUACGACCUGAGGGUGAAAGCGUGGGCUCGCAAGUCCUCGCGCGAUUGGAGCGGCCGAUAUCAGAUUAGUUAGUUGGUGUGGUAAUGGCUCACCAAGCCGACGAUCUGUAGCUGGUCUGAGAGGACGACCAGCAACACUGGGACUGGGACACGGCCAAGACUCCUACGGGAGGCAGCAGUGGGGAAUUUUGGACAAUGGGCGCAAGCCUGAUCCAGACAGGCCGCGUGCGGGAAGAAGGCCUUCGGGUUGUAAACCGCUUUUGUCAGGGAAGAAAAGGUUCUGGCUAAUACCUGGGACUCAUGACGGUACCUGAAGAAUAAGCACCGGCUAACUACGUG